rnacentral:rRNA from 1 species
UACGUAGGGGGCAAGCGUUGUCCGGAUUUAUUGGGCGUAAAGAGCUCGUAGGCGGUCUGUCGCGUCUGCUGUGAAAACUCAGGGCUUAACCCUGAGCUUGCAGUGGGUACGGGCAGACUAGAGUGCGGUAGGGGAGACUGGAAUUCCUGGUGUAGCGGCGAAAUGCGCAGAUAUCAGGAGGAACACCGGUGGCGAAGGCGGGUCUCUGGGCCGUAACUGACGCUGAGGAGCGAAAGCAUGGGGAGCGAACAGG